GACUGGUCCCUAACUGCAGGAAAUAUAUGUGCACUUCACAGAACAUUUAUAACAAUUCAUAAUUUAUUACUUUUGCCUCAGGCUGGGUAACCACAACAAAAGUUGCCAAAGAGGCCUUUUGAAGGUAGCUUGCAUGUCAGGCUCGAUGCUUGAAAUAGAGCCUGUUAUACCAUGUGAGCAAAGUCCUCUCGUAUUUCUUCUCGGCACGGCACGGAGAA